UAUGAGGUGGCUGGUCCACUCCGCUGCACACUCCCUGCCAUUAUGUGCUGCCUCAGCACAGGUGCAGGAACAGCAGGACCAAGGACCACGGCUGAAAGCGCUGAAAUCGUGAGCCAAAGUAAACUUUCCCUCGGUGCUGGGGACCGAGCCCAGGACUCUGAGCACACUGGGCAUGUGCUCUACACCGAGCCACACUCAACCCUCUCACUGAGGUUUGCAACAGCUAUAUAGUGUCCUCAAACCUAAGCACGUACCAGGACGAGCUUCUCCUGAACACAGUGUCUUGACCAAGUCUUUGUGAGGACACCGACCUGGAACGAAGCCCCACAGGACCCUGCACCCAGCACAGGUGCGCCUCGUCCCAACAGCAAGAAAACUAUAAAGUUUGGACAGAAUAUUUCAAGGUUUCUACUUGAAAAGCCGGCACAGCCUAGAGGUCUACACUCAGAGGGAAGGCACUGGGCAACUCUCGCUGUCACGGCUUUAUUCCCAGAGGAGAGCCGAGCUGGAACCACACAGCGCCUCCUGUGCUUUCUGGAGAGCAAUGGGCAGUUGGGACCUUCAUGGCCAGUAACAUCUGUGUACACCAUGGGUUGAAGCCUCCUUUUGUGCCACAAAAGCAGCAUUAAGGCUUUGCAAUCAUACCUUAUGGCCAUGAAACCAUCAAUAUACUCACUAUCUGGGCUGAUCAAAGAAAAUUUGCUGACUCCAGUAGUGGAUCCAAGAGACUACAAUGUAACCUCAGACAAGAGACUGAGUCUAAGCCGCCAAGUGGCCUCAUUUGUGAAGGAAACCACAGCACACAUCUCAUCUGCACAGUGAAGGAUUAACUCAGCGUGUCUGGAUUAUUUAUACCCUCACAUUAUUUAUUCCCUCUGGACGAUUUACACACUCAUACUUAUACCUUCAUAUUUAUACCCAGAGCAGGCCUCUGACCUGCUCCUGGGAGGUUGUUUCUAAGUCCUUGGAAUUGUUUUGUCUAGCAUUUGUUUACGGGUCUGGGGUCACGGUGGACACCCCAUGCCAACGACUUAUUGCACGGACCUUGGGUCAUGGGGUUAGUCACUCAGAGUGAGACUGAAUGAUGAAGGGCUGCCUCGCCUUUGUGACCGACUCCAAUAGAAGCUACCUCUGGAGCUCCAGUGAUUGGCAAGACUCCAUGUAUGCGACCACACAAUUUCUGGGAGAGGACGCUAG